CCUAUGUCGGUGAUGGGUUUAAAUAUACUACGAGAGAUUAGUCUCUGUGAAAUUAAUUUAAUCUGAGGCUUGGG